GCUGGGCAUGGUGGCGCAUGCCUGUAAUCCCAGCUACUUGGGAGGCUGAGGCAGGAGAAUUGCUUAAGCCCGUGAGGCGGAGGUUGCAGUGAGCUGAGAUUGAGCCACUGCACUCCAGCCUGGGCGACAGAGUGAGACUCUGUCUCAA
rnacentral:SRP_RNA from 1 species